CCUACGGGAGGCGCAGUGGGGAAUUUUGGACAAUGGGCGAAAGCCUGAUCCAGCAAUGCCGCGUGAGUGAAGAAGGCCUUCGGGUUGUAAAGCUCUUUUGUCAGGGAAGAAACGGUGAGGGCUAAUAUCCCUUGCUAAUGACGGUACCUGAAGAAUAAGCACCGGCUAACUACGUGCCAGCAGCCGCGGUAAUACGUAGGGUGCAAGCGUUAAUCGGAAUUACUGGGCGUAAAGCGUGCGCAGGCGGUUUUGUAAGUCUGUCGUGAAAUCCCCGGGCUCAACCUGGGAAUUGCGAUGGAGACUGCAAGGCUAGAAUCUGGCAGAGGGGGGUAGAAUUCCACGUGUAGCAGUGAAAUGCGUAGAGAUGUGGAGGAACACCGAUGGCGAAGGCAGCCCCCUGGGUCAAGAUUGACGCUCAUGCACGAAAGCGUGGGGAGCAAACAGGAUUAGAUACCCUGGUAGUCCACGCCCUAAACGAUGUCUACUAGUUGUCGGGUUUUAAUUAACUUGGUAACGCAGCUAACGCGUGAAGUAGACCGCCUGGGGNGGUACGGUCGCGAGAUUAAACGUUAAAGGUAAGUUAGUACGGCGUGAGACGUGCCGACGGACGACGACGAGGGAGGUAGG
rnacentral:rRNA from 1 species